CCUACGGGUGGCAGCAGUAGGGAAUCUUCCACAAUGGGCGCAAGCCUGAUGGAGCAACACCGCGUGAGUGAAGAAGGGUUUCGGCUCGUAAAGCUCUGUUGUUGGAGAAGAACGUGCGUGAGAGUAACUGUUCACGCAGUGACGGUAUCCAACCAGAAGUUCCUGGCUAAUACGUGCCAGCAGCCGCGGUAAUUCGUAGGUUGGCAGCGUUAUCCGGAUUUAUUGGGCGUAAAAGGAGCGGAGGAGGUUGCUUAGGUCUGAUGUGAAAGCCUUCGGCUUAACCGAAGAAGUGCAUCGGAAACCGGGCGACUUGAGUGCAGAAGAGGACAGUGGAACUCCAUGUGUAGCGGUGGAAUGCGUAGAUAUAUGGAAGAACACCAGUGGCGAAGGCGGCUGUCUGGUCUGCAACUGACGCUGAGGCUCGAAAGCAUGGGUAGCGAACAGGAUUAGAUACCCUAGUAGUC
rnacentral:rRNA from 1 species